UUUAAUUUUACCAGUGGGAGAGAGACCGGUAGUGAAAUAGAAGUUGUUUACUGAGUAUUUUGGGUUGAAGGGAUACUGGUUCUUGAUGACCAUCUGGAUGAUUUAGGAUGAAUUUUAAAAUCUGCUGCGUAAGAAAUUAAGGCAGUGCUCAUUAGGAAGAUCCUAGGCCUGUCCUGAGGAUGAUUGCAUAGUCGUCUGUUCAGUGCCACCUGCCAGGCUGGGAAGGCACAUGUGUUUCUGUGGAUGUAUCUGUGGGGAGGAGACAGGUCUCCUGGGGGACCACAAGACCUAUGCCUACCCCUAGGAGGUAUAUGGGACUGGACAGAGGUGGGGAGAAAGCAGAACUGAGAUCCUGCAGGAUGUGCCAGAGGAGGACCAGGUGAGUGCAGACCCCACUCACUGGGCAUGUGUUUAGUGCAUGUGAGGUGCCAGGCAUCAUGCAGGCGGGGAGUUUUGUGGUGGGACAGGCUCAGAACCCUCCUCUGCUAGAGCUUAUGGCUUCAGAAGACGAUAGGCAUUAAACAUGCACAUCUGCUGAUGGGGACGCAGGUUGAAAGGGAUGCAUGGGAUCUAUCACAUUGCACGGUAGUAGGAAUCACAUUUAGAAGGUCAUAGAUGUACCUUUCAUAUGGUGACAGGGUGUGCAGAUUGUGACUAAAAUCCAGAUAUGCUGCUUGAGACCAGGCUCAGCGUAAAUAUUGGUUGCUUUUAAAGGGGUUUCUUGAUGUGAAAGGAAACAAGUAGGCUAGCAGAUGAAGAGUGUGGGCUCUGGCGUGGUAGGACUGGAUUUGGUGCUUGGUUUAGGGCUAUGUGACUUUCUCUGUGGAAAAUGGAAUAGUAAUUAUGCUGGCAAGGAUAAUGCUUAGUGUAGUGCUGGGCUUAUAAGAGAGUCUCAGUAAUAUUACCUUCUAGGUGUGAUUGUUAUUACAUCACUGCUAUUUUCUUAUCUUUAUUGUCAUGUCAAGGAAAAUCAUUUUUGGUAAUACGUCAAAGGCAACUUGUAGUUCUGGAAAUUUUCUAGGAUCUGGAUUUCUUAGAAAGUUAAAAAGUCAUUAUUCCUGGAACAAACAUUAUGCAGAUUUGGGAUUUCAAGUUCACUGGUCCUAAACAUAUUAUCAUUUGUUUUUUUAUUUAUUUAUUUUGUAUAUCAAAAGUGAAUUCUAGUAAUUUCACUCCUAGGGAUGUGCCCCAAAGAAUUGAAAACAGGUGUUCCAACAAGUAUACAAAUGUUCAUAGUAGCCCUAUUUACACAGUAGCCAAAAGGUAGAAGCACCCCAAGUGUCUAUCAGUGGAUAAGUGGAUAACAAAAUGUGGCCUGUACAUACCGUGGACUUUUAUUCAGCCAUGGAAGGAAAUGAAAUUCUGAUAUAUGCUGCAACUUGUGUGAAUCUCAAAAACAUUAUGCUCAAAGAAAGCCAGCCUCAAAAGGUCACAUACUGUAUGAUUCCAUUGGUAUGAAAUUCCCAGAAUAGGUAAAUCCAUGGAAACAGAAAGCAGAUUGGUGGUUGCCAUGGGCUGAGAGGAGGCGGCAAAUGGAGUAGAAUCGCUUCACGGGGGUAGGGCUUUAUUUUGGGGUGAUACAAAUGUUCUGGAACUAGAUGGAGGUGGUGGCUGCACAAUAUUGUGAAUGUAGUAAAUGCCACUGAAUUGUUCACUUUAAAAUGGUUAAUUUCAUGUUAUAUGAAGUUUGCAUCAAUAAAAAAGUUAGUUCUAAGCACCAUUUAUACUGUAAUAUUUGUAAAUUACCAUAAUAGCGCCUUUAUAUGACUUAGACCUUUACAAAUAAUGUAAAAUUGUCCCCUUAGACCAUCUCACUUAGAACAGCUUCCAUCAUUAAAAA